rnacentral:lncRNA from 1 species
GACGCCACCAUAGGAGCCAGGGAACAGGGAAGAGAAAGUUGAAUUCACACAGUGUCAGUCCUGCAGGGGCUCAGAUGGGCAGUGGAAGGAAAAGAUUCACACUGACCAAUUCAAUCAAGUCAAGUGGAUGCAACUUAACGUGCUUGGAGGACCACGGAACACCUUGGCCCAGCCAAGCUGGAGAAAAGAGAUCUGCUUUCUCACCCGCUGCCUUGGUGGUCGUGAGCUCAGCUGCAGGGAUGGGCAGUGGCUUUCGGAUUCUCCUCCCAAGGCAUGCUCAGCCAAAAAAGAAACAACUCCCACUCUGUCACCACCCUCAUCCCUAGAACCGUGCCAUAGGCCACUUGGGGAGGGGCUCGUACUAGCACGAGGCCAGUCUGUGCCACUGGGAGAGCAUCACUCUUGGUCUUAGCAUUGGCCCUACACAAAACACAUGGGAAAACCUGUUCCUUUCUCAAAAAGAAGUCAAAACAGACUGCACAUGCACAUAGAUGGGAGAGAUGCAUCCAAAAAAAAAAAGAGAGAGAGAGAGAGAGAGAAAUGUUUGUGCCCGCAUUCUUCAUUCCAUCUGGCACACGAUUGGAGUAAACUUAUCUGGGCAAAUGUCGGGCUCCGAUCAUUACCCUGAAAACCCUAGGGCCCUUUUGGAGAAUGUCAGCGAGGCCAUCGGUGUCGGUGUAUGGGUGGACGGUGCAUGUACCACAGAGCCAAAUGUGAACCCUACACACGCCACCCAGAAAAACCUGGGCUUUUCCCAAAAGGAAGUGAAGACAGAC